UAUCAUCAUUACAGAACAGGUCAACAACCUUUCACUCAUGGAUUAAUGUAAUAAUUUCCUAACCAGUCCUUUUCUCGUCUAAUCCAUUUUCUGACUGUUACCAGACUAACAGUUGGGAAAAUAAUGUUGUGCUUCACAUUUUUCAGCAGGCCACUCAUGUUAGCAUUACUAAGCAUCCACUGUGUGAAUGGAACUGCAAAGGAUUAGGAAUAGGAAAAUGGGAAGCUGAAAAGGAUAUGAUACUUCUCAAUUAUUUAUUUAUUUAUUUAUUUUGCUGUGGGUUGAACUCCAGGGUCUCUAGAAUGCUAAUAAGCAUGUGCUCUACCAGCCCCAUCUCAAAUAAUAUUUAUGAAGAAGUGGAGUUUAAAUCUAAAUGUGAUUUUUACCUGUAACAUUGUUUUGUCAAAGAGAACACACUUGAGACAUUUAAUGAAUAGCAAAAUAGUAAAAUAUUUUUUCCUUCCCCCCCCUUUCUAGGUUCGUGUUGCAUGUAAAUCUUGUCCCUGUGGUUACAUAUUUAUUAAUAGGAAGCUUCUAAAAAUAAGACACUCAGAGAAAUCAUCACCUUUUACAGAGGUGAAUAAUACCAUAUCUUUGAAAGAUUUGCGAAUACUUUUUUUUAUAUGAAUUUAAACUAGGACAUAGUGCAGCCAUGGCAAGUAGGAACUUCAAUUCUGUCUUUGGAGAAGGCUCUGUUAGUGAAAGGACCAUCCGUUGGUGGUUUGAAAAAUUUCGUUCUGGGGAUCUGAGUCUGAAAAAUGAGCCUCGAGGGAGAUCUGUUUUAGAUGAAGAUCACCUGAGAGCUCUGGUGGAGGCUAACCCCAAAACAGCAAUUCGAGGCCUUGCUGCAUACUUAGGAGUUUCUGCUACAACGGUUGCUCGUCACCUGGCUGCAAUAGGGAAAGUGAAAAAAUUGGACAAGUGGGUAGGUACCACACCAGUUGAUGGAUGAUCACAGGCUGAGAUGGUUAAAAUUUUGGAGAGGAUCAUCAGCUUUAAUGAAAAAAAUGGAUACAUACAUGGCAAUUGAAAGUGAUCUGAUCAACAAUUGAUGUUGGUGAAGUUCCCAAACAUUUGUUAAAGCCAUUGUUGCAACCAAAAAAGAUCCUGGUAACUGUAGGUGGUCUUCAAAAAGGGUAUUUCAUUACUGCUUUUUUAACCUGGGCAAAUCUAAUUAACAUUGUAUUGUGAAGAAGUUGACAUUAUGUAUAAAAAUUGAUCUAGAAUCAUUCUGCAUUUGGUUAGCAGACUUUGAUCUAUACUUUUCUGGGAUAGCAUUCACUCACAGACAGCACAAGCCAUCAUAGCAAAGUUAAUAGAAUUGGACUGAGAAAUUGUGUCACAUUCAUUUUUACUCACUAGACCUUUUUCAGAGGAUUUAAAUAAAUUUUAAACAGUGCUGAAUUUUA